rnacentral:misc_RNA from 1 species
AAUUCUCAAGCUGUGAUGCUUUUUUGUGAAGCAACUUAGCUUGGUAUUGGGCUUUGCCGUUGUCCCCUUCAUUUGGGACGGACGGCUGGCCUUAAAGGCAUUAGCUUUGAUCCCUGGUGUGGAUUGGUUCUACUCAGCGUGAUAAUAAUCUAACCGCUGAGGACAUCUUUUGGGAUGGCCAGUUCUCCUUGGGGUUGCUCUCUAAUCUGGAUUGCAAGAUUUCGCGAAUCUUUGCUCCUCCACUUUCAA